rnacentral:rRNA from 1 species
AAUCUGAUCAGCAUGCCGCGUGCAGUGAUGACAGGCCUUCUGGGUCGUAAACUGCUUUUAUUCGGGGAAUUACCUUCGUACGUGUAGCUCGCUGAAUGUACCGAACGAAUAAGGAUCGGCUAACUCCAUGCCAGCACCCCCGGUAAUACGGAGGAUCCGGGCGUUAUCCGGAUUUAUUGGGUUGAAAGGGUGCGUAGGCGGCUUGUUAAGUCAGGGGUGAAAGACGGUGCCUCAACCUUCCUUGUGCAUUUGAUUCGAAUGAGCUUGAAUACACUGUGGGUAGGGGGAAUGUAACUAGUAGCGGUGAAAUGAAUAGAUUUGACACGGAACGCCACUCCCAAAGGCAACUUACUCUGCUGGGAUUGACGCUGAGGCCCGAAAGCGUGGGGAUCAAACAGGAUUAGAUACCCUGGUAGUCCACGCCCUAAACUAUGAAAACUCGCUGUUGGCGAUACACAGUUAGCGGCUAAGCGAAAGCGUUAAGUAUUCCACCUGGGGAGUACGCCCACAAGGGGUGAAACUCAAGAAAUUUGAGGGAAUUUACGG